UGGGCUUCUGCCCAGAAGGACCCAACUGCACAUUCAUGCACCUCAAGGCUGGGCUGAUGAUGAGCAGCACAGACCCAUCCAAGGGAGCUGGCUGUCCUUGGGGGCUGGUACAGCUGGACCUGACUCCCAGCAAGGAGACUGGACACAAGGAUGAGCUGCCCAUGGAACCCCCUCUACCAGGCACUGGAGCUACCCAGCACCCAGCCAUGGGACACCAAUAGCUGCUCCCCGGGCACACAGACCCUGCCUGAACAAGGCACUGGCUUAAAGUGCAGGCAGAAAGGUCACAGCUCCAGUAACUGUGGGAAGACACAGCUGGAAAUCCUGCUGGGGAAGUGACUCGAGUGCUUCAGCAUGGACAUGGAAGGAUACAGCAGAGCAGGAUGGAGCCAGCGAGGCAGCUGCUGGACUAGAAAAGCCAGUUUGGCUUGGUUUUGCCCAGCACCAGCUCCCACAAGCAGCAGAGAAAUCACAGCUUCCUUAAUGCAACUAAACCUGGGCCCUUCACAGCUGCCCCAUGCCCUCCUGCACAGGCAGCCACAGGUUUGAUGGGAGUGGGGCCCUGGCAGAUGGGGGUGUGGGGAUGCCAACCCCUGGGAAGGGGGCAAAAGCACCACGUUUGAGAACACACAGGAGCAAGCAGGCAAGGCAAAGCCACACAA